rnacentral:rRNA from 1 species
GUUAUUAAAAACAUGGCUUGUUGAUUUUAAUUUCAGGUUUGGCCUGCCCAGUGAUGUUUAAAUGGCUGCGGUAUACUAACCGUACAAAGGUAGCAUAAUCAUUAGUUUUUUAAUUGAGGGCUGGAAUGAAAGGUUAGAUGAGAGAACAACUGUCUCUGUAAAAAUUUAAUAGAAUUUUAUUUUUAAGUGAAAAAGCUUAAAUUUAGGUAGAAGACGAGAAGACCCUAUAGAGUUUAAUAAUUCAAAAUAUAAGAAAAUUACAGAAGAAGAAUAUUUUUUAUUUAGAGAAUUAUUUUAUUGGGGUGAUAAAAAAAUUUAAUUAACUUUUUUUAAAUAGAAACAUUAAUUUAUGAAGAUUUGAUCUUAAAGGUUUAGAUUAGAAGAAUAAAUUACCUUAGGGAUAACAGCGUAAUUUUUUUUAGAGUUCUUAUCGAAAAGAAAGAUUGCGACCUCGAUGUUGGAUUAAAAUUUAUUGUAGGUGAAGAAGCUUAUAAAUUAGGUCUGUUCGACCUUUAAAAUUUUACAUGAUCUGAGUUUAAACCGGUGUGAGCCAGGUCGGUUUCUAUCUA